UACGGAAGGCAGCAGGGGGAAUAUUGCACAAUGGGCGAAAGCCUGAUGCAGCUAUGCCGCGUGUAUGAAGAAGGCCUUAGGGUUGUAAAGUACUUUCAUCGGGGAGGAAAAAACAAAACUAAUAAUUUUAUUUCUUGACGUUACCCGAAAAAGAAGCACCGGCUAACUCCGUGCCAGCAGCCGCGGUAAUACGGAGGGUGCUAGCGUUAAUCAGAAUUACUGGGCGUAAAGAGCACGUAGGUGGUUUUUUUAAGUCAGAUGUGAAAUCCCUGGGCUUAACCUAGGAACUGCAUUUUGAAAACUGAAAUACUAGAGUAUCGUAGAGGGAGGUAGAAUUCUAGGUGUAGCGGUGAAAUGCGUAGAUAUCUGGAGGAAUACCUGUGGCGAAAGCGGCCUCCUAAACGAAUACUGACACUGAGGGUGCGAAAAGCGUGGGGAGCAAACAGGGAUUAGAUACC
rnacentral:rRNA from 1 species